rnacentral:rRNA from 1 species
GUACCUACGGGACGCAGCAGUGGGGGAUAUUGCACAAUGGGGGGAACCCUGAUGCAGCGACGCCGCGUGGGUGAAGGAGCGUUUCGGCGCGUAAAGCCCUAUCGGCAGGGAAGAAGGAGGACGGUACCUGACUAAGAAGCCCCGGCUAACUACGUGCCAGCAGCCGCGGUAAUACGUAGGGGGCGAGCGUUAUCCGGAUUUACUGGGUGUAAAGGGGGCGCAGACGGCAGCGCAAGGCAGGAGUGAAAGCCCGGGGCCCAACCCCGGGACCGUGCCUGGAGC